CAGCCCUUACUGCAUCCAAGAGGGGCCGGAGGUCCUGCACCAGCCCCACGGCAAUGGAGCUGGCCUCCUUCCUCGGCAUUCAUGGAUGCUCCUCACGACACUUGGAAUCUGGAAGCAGGAGCAGGGGCAAGGAUGGUGCUGGGCCUGCAUUCCCCAUCCCUCUCUGCUGCAUCUUGGUACCCAGGACCCCUCCUAGGUUUGGGAUGGAGGAGGAAGGACCAAAGGGGAUGGGAACGCAGCCAUGGGGCACCCACCUCCACCAGCCAGAAGUCGAGGUUGCUCAUGACCAGCUCCAGGAUGUCCUCUGCCACCCUCCUGUUGAAGAUGCUCGAGUCCUUCAU